rnacentral:tRNA from 1 species
AGGGGAGUAGCAUAACGGUUGUGCAACGGUCUCCAAAACCGUCGGCUGCAGGUUCGAAUCCUGUCUCCCCUG